AUUCUUAUAGCUUAUGAUAAAGCAUAACAUUGAAGAUGUUAAGUAGGUCUUAGACCUAAGAAUG
rnacentral:tRNA from 1 species